rnacentral:rRNA from 1 species
AGUCGGUUUAAGGAUACGUUCGUUGGGUAGGGGAGCGUUCUGUAAGCCUGUGAAGGUGGCCUGUGAGGGUUGCUGGAGGUAUCAGAAGUGCGAAUGCUGACAUAAGUAACGAUAAAGCGGGUGAAAAGCCCGCUCGCCGGAAGACCAAGGGUUCCUGUCCAACGUUAAUCGGGGCAGGGUGAGUCGACCCCUAAGGCGAGGCCGAAAGGCGUAGUCGAUGGGAAACGGGUUAAUAUUCCCGUACUUGGUGUUACUGCGAAGGGGGGACGGAGAAGGCUAUGUUGGCCGGGCGACGGUUGUCCCGGUUUAAGCGUGUAGGUGUGUGUUCCAGGUAAAUCCGGUUCACUUUAACACUGAGGCGUGAUGACGAGGCACUACGGUGCUGAAGCAACAAAUGCCCUGCUUCCAGGAAAAGCCUCUAAGCAUCAGGUAACAUCAAAUCGUACCCCAAACCGACACAGGUGGUCAGGUAGAGAAUACCAAGGCGCUUGAGAGAACUCGGGUGAAGGAACUAGGCAAAAUGGUGCCGUAACUUCGGGAGAAGGCACGCUGACAUGUAGGUGAAGUGAUUUACUCAUGGAGCUGAAGUCAGUCGAAGAUACCAGCUGGCUGCAACUGUUUAUUAAAAACACAGCACUGUGCAAACACGAAAGUGGACGUAUACGGUGUGACGCCUGCCCGGUGCCGGAAGGUUAAUUGAUGGGGUCAGCGCAAGCGAAGCUCCUGAUCGAAGCCCCGGUAAACGGCGGCCGUAACUAUAACGGUCCUAAGGUAGCGAAAUUCCUUGUCGGGUAAGUUCCGACCUGCACGAAUGGCGUAAUGAUGGCCAGGCUGUCUCCACCCGAGACUCAGUGAAAUUGAACUCGCUGUGAAGAUGCAGUGUACCCGCGGCAAGACGGAAAGACCCCGUGAACCUUUACUAUAGCUUGACACUGAACAUUGAGCCUUGAUGUGUAG